GGUGAACGCUGGCGGCGUGCUUAACACAUGCAAGUCGAGCGAGUGAGUUCUUCGGAACGAUCUAGCGGCGGACGGGUGAGUAACACGUGGGCAACCUGCCUCAUAGAGGGGAAUAGCCUCCCGAAAGGGAGAUUAAUACCGCAUAAAAUUAUCGAGUGGCAUCACAUGAUAAUCAAAGGAGCAAUCCGUUAUGAGAUGGGCCCGCGGCGCAUUAGCUAGUUGGUGAGGUAACGGCUCACCAAGGCGACGAUGCGUAGCCGACCUGAGAGGGUGAUCGGCCACAUUGGGACUGAGACACGGCCCAGACUCCUACGGGAGGCAGCAGUGGGGAAUAUUGCACAAUGGGGGAAACCCUGAUGCAGCAACGCCGCGUGAGUGAUGAAGGUCUUCGGAUUGUAAAGCUCUGUCUCUGGGGACGAUAAUGACGGUACCCAAGGAGGAAGCCACGGCUAACUACGUGCCAGCCGCCGCGGUAA
rnacentral:rRNA from 1 species